GGGAUUGUGGCUCAGUAGUAGAGCAUUCACCUCCCACAUGUGAGAUCCUGGGUUCAAUCCUCAGCACCA
rnacentral:tRNA from 1 species